UACAGAGGCCUCGAGCGUUAGGCGGAAUUACUGGGCGUAAAGCGUGCGCAGGCGGCUUUGCAAGACAGAUGUGAAAUCCCCGGGCUUAACCUGGGAACUGCAUUUGUGACUGCAUGGCUGGAGUGCGGCAGAGGGGGAUGGAAUUCCGCGUGUAGCAGUGAAAUGCGUAGAUAUGCGGAGGAACACCGAUGGCGAAGGCAAUCCCCUGGGCCUGCACUGACGCUCAUGCACGAAAGCGUGGGGAGCAAACAGG
rnacentral:rRNA from 1 species